AGAAAUAGUCAUGAGUAUCGGAUCUGAAACAAUUGCCCUAUGGAGAGUGGAGCGGUGGGAAAAUUGUUGGGAUCGACCGUCGGACGUGUUGUCACGUGCAGAGGUUUCUGCCAAUGAAAAUGGGGAAUGGAUGGAUCGGAAGAGGCACUUCAGCUGGUAAGGUUACCUGAGAAUUUUGAAAAGCAGUAGAAUCUAAGUUCUGAUAAUUUUGAUACCACUUGAGAAAAUCAUCGUAGUUUGGCGUAAAGUUAUAAGAAAUAGUCAUGAGUAUCGGAUCUGAAACAAUUGCCCUAUGGAGAGUGGAGCGGUGGGAAAAUUGUUGGGAAUCGACCGUCGGACGUGUUGUCACGUGCAGAGGUUUCUGCCAAUGAAAAUUGGGGAAUGGAUGGAUCGGAAGAGGCACUUCAGCUGGUAGGUUACCUGAGAAUUUUGAAAAGUGAGAGGCAAACCGGAGUAAUGACACGGUUUACAAAAAAAAAUCACCGAAAGACAGUGGAUCAACUGGGUAAAGCACGGCGAAGAAAAAAUUAUCUUUUAGCAGGCUCUAGAUACCAUGAUGAAAUACAAGAGAUUAAGAGACAUUUGAAUAAACCGUGUGUUUUGAAAACACUAAGGAGA
rnacentral:lncRNA from 1 species